rnacentral:rRNA from 1 species
UAAUACGUAGGGGGCAAGCGUUGUCCGGAUUUAUUGGGCGUAAAGAGCGUGUAGGCGGCCUGGAAGGUCCGUUGUGAAAACUCGAGGCUCAACCUCGAGACGUCGAUGGAAACCCUCAGGCUAGAGUCCGGAAGAGGCAAGUGGAAUUCCCGGUGUAGCGGUGAAAUGCGCAGAUAUCGGGAGGAACACCAAUGGCGAAGGCAGCUUGCUGGGACGGUACUGACGCUGAGACGCGAAAGCGUGGGGAGCAAACAGGAUUAGAUACCCUGGUAGUCCACGCCGUAAACGAUGGGCACUAGGUGUGGGAGGUGUCGACUCCUCCCGUGCCGGAGCUAACGCAUUAAGUGCCCCGCCUGGGGAGUACGGCCGCAAGGCUA